UACGGAGGGUGCGAGCGUUGUCCGGAAUCAUUGGGCGUAAAGGGCGCGUAGGUGGCCUGUGCAAGCGUGCGGUGAAAGCUCGGGGCUCAACCCCGGGUCGGCCGUGCGAACUGCUGGGCUGGAGCACUGUAGAGGCAAGUGGAAUUCCCGGUGUAGCGGUGAAAUGCGCAGAUAUCGGGAGGAACACCAAUGGCGAAGGCAGCUUGCUGGGACGGUACUGACGCUGAUGACGCGGAAAGCGUGGGGGAGCAAACGGG
rnacentral:rRNA from 1 species